rnacentral:rRNA from 1 species
UACGUAGGGACCAAGCGUUGUUCGGAUUUACUGGGCGUAAAGGGCGCGUAGGCGGCGCGGUAAGUCACUUGUGAAAUCUCUGAGCUUAACUCAGAACGGCCAAGUGAUACUGCAGUGCUAGAGUGUGGAAGGGCAAUCGGAAUUCUUGGUGUAGCGGUGAAAUGCGUAGAUAUCGAGAGGAACACCUGCGGCGAAGGCGGGUAGCUGGGCCGACACGUGACGCUGAGGCGCGAAGCCAGGGGAGCGAACGGG